UACGUAGGUGGCGAGCGUUAUUCGGAUUUAUUGGGCGUAAAGGGUUCGUAGGGGGUUUGUUAAGUCUGAUGUGAAAGCCUAGGGCUCAACCCUGGAACUGCAUUGGAUACUGACGAACUAGAGGACUGGAGAGGAAAGUGGAAUUCCUGGUGUAGCGGUGGAAUGCGUAGAUAUCAGGAGGAACAUCAAUAGCGAAGGCAGCUUUCUGGACAGUAUCUGACCCUGAGGAACGAAAGCCGGGGGAGCAAACAGG
rnacentral:rRNA from 1 species